CUGUGCACGCGCCGCUUAGACCGCUGCAGGGCGGAGGACGCUGACAGGCGCUGGCGCUCUAACAGGGAGUGGGACUACCCCCGCGUGAGGCGCCGGGAAGCAGCCCCGCUGUCCACCUGUCUGCAAGUCUGGGAGCCGUGGGCCAGUGAUCCGAAUUCCCAUACGUCAUUCACCAGGAGAAACCCACUCAGAGCUGCUGCCUUGCGAUUUGUCCUGAAAUCAGCCACCACCUCAUGCUGGGAAUUGAACUCAGGGCCUUGUGUGUGUGAGAUCAAGGAAAAAGACAACAGCUGAUGAAAGUUAUCUGCUAAAGCUUUGGAACAAGUUUAGCAAACCAGAGAAUGCUGAAACCUAAGCCUGGGUGAGGGGUCAGUGAGACGAAGCCAACAAGAAGCAAGAUCACAUCUGUCUCACAGAGUGCAGAAGCAUGGAAUCUGAAGACACUGGGUGCCUCUGAAGGGAUGCGAAGGGGAGAGGAUUGGCUAAAUGUACCAGCACACCACUGACAUCUGCCAACACCAAGGGGAGGUUUGGAAGCAUCAUUUGAGGAAUGAGACAAAGGUUACAACAGUUGCAUCUUUUUUCCUGGAGAGCUUAAAGCACAGGAGGAGAACCAAAAUUGAG